GGGGAUGUAGCUCAAUGGUAGAGCAUUUGCUUAGCAUGCAGAUGGCUCUAGAUUUAAUCUCCAGCACUGCAA
rnacentral:tRNA from 1 species